GUCCUGCCUUAUAAGGCAAAGGUAGUCUAGUUGCUCUUCAUGAAACCCAUGGAGGAGACUGUGCACCUCCUCUUUGGAUUCUGUCUGGAGUCUAGUU